UACGUAGGUCCCGAGCGUUGUCCGGAUUUAUUGGGCGUAAAGCGAGCGCAGGUGGUUUAUUAAGUCUGGUGUAAAAGGCAGUGGCUCAACCAUUGUAUGCAUUGGAAACUGGUAGACUUGAGUGCAGGAGGGGAGAGUGGAAUUCCAUGUGUAGCGGUGAAAUGCGUAGAUAUAUGGAGGAACACCGGUGGCGAAAGCGGCUCUUUGGCCUGUAACUGACACUGAGGCUCGAAAGCGUGGGGAGCAAACAGG
rnacentral:rRNA from 1 species